AUGAAAGAAAUUGAAGAUGAAUGAGAAGAUGAAAGAAAUUGAAGAUGAAUGAGAAGACGAGUUAAAAAAGCUAGGGACGUUUCGUCUUUCCAUUGAUGCUGCUGACAU
rfam:Arabidopsis thaliana chromosome 2, complete sequence.